ACUAUACUCUCUGAAGAGCUUAAUGCAGUACUAUGCACAGAGAUGCAAAGAUACUGACAUGGGAGAUGAGGAGAUCUAAUCUGGGGAGAUAAGAAAUGAAUCAAGGAAGGCUUCCUGGAAGAGAUGUGACUUCUGAAAGGCUUUGAAGAUGGGGAGAGCUGUCAUCUUUUGGAUCUGAGGAGGCCAAGGGGCUUGAGCCAGACGAGAAUGGGUCACGGGCAUGCUGCUUCCCUCUUCCAGCCUGGAGGACUCUGGAAGAAGCAGUUGAAGCCUCUGUGAAUCUCUACUUGUUUUUCAGCUGUUGAAUAGAUGCCUCCAGGGAAAGAUCUGAUCAUCUGGAUAUGUGAGAACUCGUGAUUCUCACCCUCCUUAUGGGAUUGUACAGCUGUUUAAAGGAACCUGUCUGAGGGAUGUGAUCAAUGACUCCCACAGUUGGGAAAAUAUCCUGCGUCGCAUCUCACAUGGUCCAGAAUUUCAGACACUGAGGCGACGAUAUGCACAAAAACAAUAACUAUGUAUCCGGCAUAGCCAACACCACGCAAUGCACUAAAACCAGUUAGGAUUUUCCAGCUGGGUAAAAGCAGCGUGAUUGUUUUAAAGAAUCUGAAUUUAUCAGAAUACUGCUCGGGUAUCCUGCGCUCAUCCAUUCUCCUCCCUCGCCCUGCUUGGGUAUCCUGAACUCAUCCAUUCUUCUCACAUGCCGGAUUGAAGCCUCACUGCUGUCAGCAUCGUCUCAAUGCCGAUAAGCAGAUUUUGCUCCAGGGCCUCAUCGCUGUCCUGCUCUUAAACAACAAAUGCAAGCACUAAUUUUUGUUUAAGUUUUAAAUAAAUAAUAGAAGCUGUUGCUUUA